UGCUGGCGACCGGCGCACGGGUGAGUAACACGUAUCCAACCUGCCCUUUACUCGGGGAUAGCCUUUCGAAAGAAAGAUUAAUACCCGAUAGCAUAAUGAUUCCGCAUGGUUUCAUUAUUAAAGGAUUCCGGUAAAGGAUGGGGAUGCGUUCCAUUAGGUUGUUGGUGAGGUAACGGCUCACCAAGCCUUCGAUGGAUAGGGGUUCUGAGAGGAAGGUCCCCCACAUUGGAACUGAGACACGGUCCAA
rnacentral:rRNA from 1 species